AGUACCAACAUCCAAGCAACCGGCAGCUUUAGUUAUGAAGUAAAAAGGAGAGCUAAUAGGCUGCAGUUCGUCAGAGGUACAGUGACAGCAGUAGCAGAGCUGGCCAGGAAGCCGGAGUUUCAGGAUUUAAUAACCCCGAAGUUUGCCAAAACAAAGGAGAAAGAACUUCUAAAAAGUCUCCCUCCACAACACAGGGAUGAGUGAUGCUGUCUCUGCCUCGUCUUUGACUGGCAGAAUAAACGCAGUUACCACAACAGCAAUGCUGGGAGACAAACUACAAGCAACAACAGAGUCAGGAGCUAUGAUUUACUCACCGGUGACAUCAUGGAGACCACAGCUAUUUUUAUUGGAUGGUAAACGGCCAGCUCUUCUCCAUGCUAUGCCACC